rnacentral:rRNA from 1 species
AUAUUGCACAAUGGAGGAAACUCUGAUGCAGCGACGCCGCGUGAGCGAUGAAGGCUUUCGAGUCGUAAAGCUCUGUCCUAGGGGACGAUAAUGACGGUACCCUAGGAGGAAGCCCCGGCUAACUACGUGCCAGCAGCCGCGGUGAUACGUAGGGGGCGAGCGUUGUCCGGAAUUACUGGGCGUAAAGGGCGUGUAGGCGGCUAAGUAAGUCAGGUGUGAAAACUCUGGGCUCAACCUAGAGAUUGCACCUGAAACUGCGUAGCUUGAGGGUAGGAGAGGAAAGUGGAAUUCCUAGUGUAGCGGUGAAAUGCGUAGAUAUUAGGAGGAACACCAGUGGCGAAGGCGACUUUCUGGCCUAACCCUGACGCUGAGGCGCGAAAGCGUGGGGAGCAAACAG